AACAUUGUCUAGUAUAGCAUACGUGUUUGCC
rnacentral:piRNA from 1 species